rnacentral:ncRNA from 1 species
CCGGCCUCCGGUUCACCCGCAUCGCAUUCGCGUGCGGGACCCGGCGCC